ACAGCUCAGUGGCAGAGCAUCCGCUCUGGAUGCAGAAGGUCCCAGGUCGAAUCCUGGCAUCUCUA